CUUCUUGCCCGAUUGCCACCAAUUUGAUAUCAUGUGUAGAUCUAACCACCAUACAGUAUAUGUCACACAGGUUUUUAAUUUGACCUUCUUGUCAAGGUCACAGAGGUCAAAUGGCGUAAAUUCGCCGUCAGGCCGUAACUAUGGCACGUUUCUUAACUGCAAUGACUAUUGAUCACAAAUUAAGUACACAUGUACCCCUUGGUCAGGUGAUCUCAGGUACCGAAGUCUGGUGCGAUCUGAUUUGCCGUUUGGCCUCCAGGGAGGGGGCCAAAUCCUAAAUUCUUCAAAAUGCCAUUAUUCCUAGUAAUGACUUGCCCGAUUGGCACCAAUUUUAUAUCAUAGGUACAUCUAAUUCUAACAACCAUUCAAUGUGUCACCCGGGUCUUCUUUGAUUUGACCUACUUUUCAAGGUCACAGAGGUCGAAUGUACUGUAAAUUGGCCAUUUUGGGGAAAUUGUAAUUGCUUGGACCUACAUCAAACCUAACACUACAUGACACAAUACCAUGCUCUUUAUCCAUCUUUCCUCCACAUGGGGUGAGCACAAUGGCCCUGGCCAUUUCAUUUUUAAAUGUGGCAUUGCAGGCCCUCCGUGCCACCCCUGGGGUUUUUAAUGCCACUUGUGCCCACACUCAGUCAGUCAGUGUUUUGAAGAAUGUAAAAUCCGUAAGUAUUUACUAAAAUUUUAAUACAGCCUUUUAUUUUACAAUAAAAUACUGUUACUACUGUUGUCCAUUCAUGAUAAAUUAUUUGUCCGCAUCGUUUUUGGGCUAUGGAUGAUGGAGUGUAAACGAGUGGACUGGAUGGUCAAACUUUUUCAAUACAAAUUUUUGAUUUAAUUGAUCUGUUAUCGCUUGGAAUUGAAAGUCAUGGCAUCGGUCGUUUUUUUAAAAAAACUGCUUGUCAUUUUUUGGCAUGUGAUAUUUGACCCUUUAUAUCCUAACCGGCCGAUAUUCGGCCACUGAUUUUUGUCUAGUUUCCUAGCCUAGCGGUUUAUGCCUGUUUCGCCUAUUCCUGUUUCGCCUAUUCCUGUUUCGCCUAUUCCUGUUCCGCCUAUUCCUGUUCCGCCUAUUCCUUUUUCGCCUAUUUCCUGUUUGGCCUAUUUCCUGUUUGGCCUAUUUCCUGUUUGGCCUAUUUCCUGUUUGGCCUAUUCCUGUUUCGCCUACUUUCCAGUACCCCUACAAUAAAUCGACUCUCCCACGGGGAACCUUAGGGAUGCAUGUCCAUUUUAUGGGGAAAAUGUGAGGGGACAAUUGGAUGAUGUUAACGAUGUGAUGACAAUUUGACUAAUCAAAUGCCAUCAACUUUGUUAACAAACCAUGCCAUGACCGUUUUGAAAGUCACCUUGAAAGCGGGGACAGUCCGGGACUUAUUUGACCAUAGGACCAUAGGACCAUACUGACACACAGUAAAAACUAAUAGAUUAAGUAGAGUAAAGCAGUCGUUUAUUUUAUGAAAACUGAAUUCAUGAGUUUUUGAUAAAAAUACAUAAUAUUGUACAUUCUCAUAACUAUUUGAUCAAAAUCAGCUGUAAAACCCAUGUCAUAAUAUACAUGUAGGUACAGCACAUAUAAAGUCAAACAAGGUGGAAAAUACAUAUCAUGAUAUUAUGUCAGACAAGGUAACUGAUGGCAUCAACGUAACUCAUUAUGUCCCUCUCUCCAUUGACGUAUUGUUCUUUGAGGCGUAACAUGCGUUCGUCAAUGCGUACAUAUGUGGCUCUCCUCGGGUUUGGUCGGUCAGUAAGGGACGGUUCAUAUUCCUACGUCUGUGGGGAGGUUAGCAAUACAUUUGAAUAGGCGAAACAGGAAUAGGCUAAACAGGAAUUAGGCGAAACAGGAAUAGGCUAAACAGGAAUUAGGCGAAACAGGAAUAGGCGAAACAGGAAUUAGGCGAAACAGGAAUAGGCGAAACAGGAAUAGGCGGAACAGGAAUAGGCGAAACAGGAAUUAGGCGAAACAGGAAUAGGCGAAACAGGAAUAGGCGGAACAGGAAUAGGCGAAACAGGAAUAGGCGAAACAGGAAUAGGCGAAACAGGAAUCGGCGGAACAGGAAUAGGCGAAACAGGAAUACACCAGCCUAGCUGCCUGCCAAGUGUGUGAUAAACAUGUGUAAAGAAACCUUUCGUAAGAUGCCAGAAGAGCUUUACAACAAUCUUGGACUGGGAGGAUGAGUUGCCGCAGACAGAGAUGAAAACCAUGAUGAAUGUCUGUGAGCAAGAGGCUAUGAUUUGUUUAGUACAACAAUGCGAGGGACUUAACAAAAUUGAGGCGGAUGUUCUUGAGGCAGUGUCGGUGCAUGGAAGAAACGGAAACAUUGGAUUAAGGAUUUAUUUCAUAGUGAAUUACACAAUCACAAAUGGAUUACACACGUUCUGGAUUAGACUAGUUCCUGCUGCAACUGACAUUUUUGCAGGUGCUCACUCGUAGGCGAUUCCUUGAUGUCUUCCUUGGAUUUUACAUGAUAUUAUGUCAUUUUCGCCAACAUCGGGUUUUGGCGCCAAGACGUUUUUUCCUAGAACAGUUGAUUUAAAUGCCGAAUGUGGUCAGUUUUAAUUUAUAUCGCAGGUGUCUACCCAAACAAUUUUAGAUGCUUUCUGCUGAAUCUUCUACUACUACUGUUUUUACUGGGGUUUCAUCGAUGUUUUUUGGUGGAGUGUGACUCUAAAGUAAUAGGCAGCUUGUUAUGCCCUCGCCAAUGCGUAAAGCAUUGCGGAGGCAUUAUGUUUUACCAAUGUCCGUCAGCCGGUAGGCGUCAGGCGUCUGUAAACUUUUCGUUUCCUCUCAUUUUAACGAGAACGCUUUGAGUAAUAACCAUGUAACUUUUUAUGUGGGUAGAAAAAGAUAACGUGUACAGGGGGCAUUACAGACUAACUCUUUCACGAUGUCAACUAAACCUAGUCAGCUAUGACACCAGCUGCUCGGGGUUGUCUGAAAAACACUUCACUUUCCUAAUACACCAACUCAAUGUGCUCACCGGGGCAUAUGCUACGCCCUGCGUUGCUCUUGUUAUUGCAGUAUUUUUGUUCUUCCUCUGGUUCACCUAUAAACUAUUUUUCCAAUCUCCAAUCAUGUUUGAUGCUUUAGCCAUUUUGUUUCAGCUCUUAGAUAGUAGAAAAACGUGUUAUUCAUUAUUUCUGGUAGCACAAGUCCUGGCACGAAAUACCUUUCCCGCCAUAAUAUCAGUACCAAGACGUCACAGGGUAGGUCCUAACUCCAGGAAACGCCUUACUAGUGCACUGUUCCACGUGAAAAGGGUCACUGCUUGGAGAGCUAAAUGGGUCAACAUCAGAAAAGCGCGAUAAUUCAGUCUUUGGAAUUUUUCCUUUUUUUGUGCAAUUUGUUGAUGGAAACUACUUAUGUAGAACAGGAGGUGACUGGGCAGCGGACAGCUGGGUAAUAUUGCCCUUAACCCCUCGCCUCCCUAGAGGGGACGAUAUAUCGUCCCUGUAUUUUGUCUCGCGUAGGUGGUACGAUAUAUCGUCCCUAUACUAAUGCUUUAGUAUAGAACUCUCAGUACACGUUAGACGCUAUUGUACAGUGUAUUCGUGUCCCUGGUGAUCUGCAGAAGACUAGAUUUAGUUUCAUUCAUAAUCAUAGUUUACAGAGGGCGCUGCAGUUUGAUGGGCGCUUGUGCAGCGUCACAGUACAAGAACUGAUCAGCAUAAAUUAAUAUUAUAUUGUAUUAUUCGAUCAAUCAGUAAUAGAAUCAAUCAAAGUUUAUCAAUCAAGUUACGUUGAUCAUUAACAGGUUGUAACUGCAUCAAUUACAGUUCCAUAUACUUUGUUCAAAUCAGAAAAAUCAAUCAAUUAGAGCAAAAUCAAUCAAAAAAUAUUGAUUAUUACUGAUUAUUGAUUACCUCUUACCUAAUUGAUACCCAGAAACAACGCCAAUUGAUAGCCAAGGUAAUCAGCUUUACAAAAAUGUAUGGUUUUAUUAGUCGUACUUCCACCUAUCAAAUCCCCGUGUCCUUUGCGCUUACACCUAUGAAUUGUCGUGUCUAAAUAGACCCGUGUGUCAAAUCCCCGUGUCUAUUAGCCCCAUCGAGCUCGAUGGGGCUAAUCGGGGUUAAUUUAGACCCGUGUUCAACAUGGGUUUUUGAUAGGUGGAAUCUGAAUAGACACGGCAAUUGCAAGUUCUAAGAUCCGGCGACAGAUGGCGCGGUGUAGUUGCCUCGGUAUUGCGCAUGCGAAAUUCCCCUCCAACGGGAAAGAAACACAGGAGAGCUCCCUACCUACAGCGCACCUGUCGCCGGGGCUAUUAACCAUUAUCUAACACAACUGAUAGGUGUAAGUGCGCCGCUGGUUUUUUGACACACGGCGAAGACACGGGUCUUGAAAAAACACAGGGUUUUAUCAUAGGUGGAACUAUGACUAUAAAUCAAGGAUGCAUAAUGAAGGAGGUACAAUAUUUAAAAGUAUUUUUACGUUAUUUUGCAUAAAACUGGUAAAAAAUCUCGGUACAUCGCGUUACAUAGGCCUCGGGAGCCAAAGGGUUAAUAAUGCCUAAGGUCCUUUAAUAAUUUUGGUACCAACCCAAGUGCUUGAAGUGGUUGAAAUACCAUAACCUAUGCAGACACGUGAGGGCCAUUUACACGGAACCAGUGAUCUUGACCGAUCCAGAUCAUUCUAGAUUGGUUUGCUGCGUUUAUCCUCUUGACUCCCAAAACUUGAAAAUCACGGGAUCCCAGGGUGGUCACGUGGUUGCGAAAUUGGGUCUGACGUUCGCAUACAACCGCCAAAGUCCGGUGACGAGGCACCAUCUACCCAGGCAUGCUCUAACUGACCCUACUGUACAUCAAACACGCUAAAACCAGCAAUAAAAUAGCGUCCCAGCUCAAGGGAAUAAAAAUAUUACUGAGACCGACCUGUCGGUCGUUGGGAAAAAAAACAUUAUUUCAAAAUGACUGACUGGUCGGUCACCGGGAUUCAAGAGGUUGACUGCGCACCAUUGGUCAUUCGCAAGAAACACAAUGUUUAAGUUUUGAAUAUAAAGUUAAAAUAAAAGAUUGAGGUGUGUCGUGUAAUCAAGCAAUGUGCGUAUUCAUUUACGCGACACUCGUUAAUCAUCUUCUGUAAUAAUUUGUUUGAGUAAUCUUGGAAAAUUUGGAAAAUGGCGUCCAUUACAUUUACAUUCUUCGCUCGUGCCUCAUCUCAACUAGAGCCCUUUGACGAGAGAAAAUGGCUUUUUCUGGCAUUUAUCUGAAAAAACUUGACUUUCCUGAGAAACGUGACAGUGCCCAAGUUGUAGGCUAAUUACACAUUUCUUCAAGUCCCAAUAUAACAUUCAUUGAGUUAAGUUGAAAUCAGCAUGACAGUGAACUGAAUGGCUGCAAGAAUUUCCAGCAAGUACUUGUACCGGUAAUAUUUUUGUCUGACAACAACCGUUUUUGGGCCUUUUGAGCUUAUUUGACCUUAUUAUAUAUGAGAGUAGUAGACAGAUCAAGUUGUUUGAAAUGACUGACAUAAUUUUAAAAGCCCUUGUCCUGCAAUUGCCACCGUGAUAAUGUAUCUCAAGUGCCCAAGCCACAUAUGUACAAAUGAUAAUCAUGUUUGGCAAAAUUAAAUGUGUGGUGAAUAUUGAAAGUUCAAGUGUGAACACAUUAUGUAAAAGUGUGGAAUUACACAUUGAGAACUGUAUAAUCCCAGUAAAUGAUUUUUAUACAUAUUGUAUUAUUGAAGUCAUGAAGACUGUGAGUGUGAAUUUUAUCCUGAUACUUAAAGGCAGAAAGGGAAUUGAAGAUAGUGACAAAAAUUGUAUUUUUUCCUAAUGUUAAGUCGGGAUCGUGGGAUUAUUGAUUUCUGCCCGUUUCUAGUAUUGUGAGAAUGUAUUUGGUCAUUUGUUUUGAUGCAUGAAUGAAGUAACCCGGAUCGCAAUUAUUGAAAAAUUUGUGUAGAAACUUCAUUUGUAGUAGAGUGUGUUUAUCUGUUACUUCUAAUGCUUUUAAAGUCUUGAAUAAGGGUUUGGUGUGGGCUAUGAGCAGAGCAGAUAAUAAUAAUUAA